rnacentral:lncRNA from 1 species
UCUGCUUUCAUCUUCUUCAUCCAUCACCAUUGAAGCUGGACGAAACUAGUCGAGCUUCGCCGAAAAUCACCCAUCUUCUUCACUCGCCGAUACACACACCCCACAAAUUUGAAGAAAACUUCUUCCUUUGCACUGAAAAUUCUUAAAUUCCAAAUCUGAGAAAAUAAAGCUCCAAAACUAAAGAAAAGUUAAAAAAGAAUAAGUUCUUUCGACUUCAAAUCAGUUGCUGCAUAUUUUCGGGGUUCUAAAAGCUUUUCGAAUCGAAGAAAAUAGCUGUUUGCUGCCGGUAAAUUCGCUGCUAUUCUGCUGGAAUUUCUUGCUGAGUUCAUCAUCAUUGUUUUUGCUGGCCUUUAUUUGGCUCAACUUCGCUAUGUCCUUCGCUGGGCCGGUAAACACAACAGCUUUGUAACUAUUUGUAUUUUUUUUAAUGAUAAGGAACAUAAAUUUCUCCAUAAAUGCUUGAUGGUUUUAGGCUGUGAUGAAUUUUCUGUUAAUAUUUGUGUGGAAAACAGUGGAUAAAUUAGUCACUAUAUUAAGCAUGAAGGAAGCCAUCCGAAAAUUGUUCAAAUAAAUUUAGAUACUUGGUUUGGUGUUUGAUA